AGUGAACGCUGGCGGUAGGCCUAACACAUGCAAGUCGAACGGCAGCACAGUAAGAGCUUGCUUUUACGGGUGGCGACUGGCGGGUGGGUGAGGAAUACAUCGGCAUCUACUUAUUCGUGGGGGAUAACGUAGGGAAACUUACGCUAAUACCGCAUACCACCUACGGGAUAAAGCAAUAGAUCUUCGGACCUUUUGUGAUUGAUUGAGCCGAUGUCGGAUUAGCUAGUUGGCGGGGUAAAGGCCCACCAAGGCGACGAUACGUAGCUGGUCUGAGAGGAUGAUCAGCCACACUGGAACUGAGACACGGUCCAGACUCCUACGGGAGGCAGCAGUAGGGAAUAUUGGACAAAGGGCGCAAGCCUGAUCCAGCAAUGCCGCGUGGGUGAAGAAGGCCUGCGGGUUGUAAAACCCUGUUGUUGGGAAAGAAAAGCAGCAGGUUAAGACACCGAUGUUCUGACGGUACCCAAAGAAUAAGCACCGGCUAACUACGUG
rnacentral:rRNA from 1 species